GAACGCCACAGUGCAGGAAUCAACAUGGCGCAACACAUAAUUCCAAACAUUGAUUCAUCAGAUGAAGAAGAUAUUGUUCUAUCAACACCAUUAUUGUAUGCAGAACCUAUUUGAGAUGAAGAGGAUGAUGAUGAUGCUGGGCGUGCUAACAUAACAGCUGAAAAACAUAUAUUAUGUUACCUAUGGUUUGUAGGACACGAGAGUGCAUCUUAUCGUGAUGUAACUGAUCGAUUCGGAGUAACAAUAAGUACUUUGUACAAUAUAAUAACCAGAGUAACAAAUUUUAUAAUGUUACUAGCACCUAAUAUCAUUAAAUAUUCAACGUUAGCUGAAAAGGAAGAAACUGCAACAUUUUAUCGAGAAAAAAAAGGAUUUCCUCGUAUAAUUGAGGCUAUUGAUGGUUCACAUAUAAGGAUAGAUAAGCCAACAGAAGAUCCAGAAUCAUAUAUUAACCGAAAGCAAUACUUUUCCUUACAUAUUUAAGGUCGUCACAUUAAGCACAAUCCGCGAUACAAUAGUGCGACCCGCAACUUUGGCAGUCCACGCGCUCGCGCGUCCGCGCGUAGUUCCGGGCGUCGCCGCUACGCGGCGAAGGUCGAGCGAGCCAACCUGGAAGUAGAAAGCGGUCAAGCGGGGAUAUAAGGCGGACCCUCUGCGGAGAAAUCGUAUAUUUGUUUUUAACAA